ACGUAGAGUGUAAAGGCAAAAGGGAGCUUGAUUGCAAGACAUACAGGUCGAGCAAGGAUGAAAAUCGGACUUAGUGAUCCGGUGGUGCUGCGUGGAAGGGCCAUCGCUCAACGGAUAAAAGCUACCCGGGGGAUAACAGGCUUAUCUCCCCCAAGAGUCCACAUCGACGGGGAGGUUUGGCACCUCGAUGUCGGCUCAUCACAUCC
rnacentral:rRNA from 1 species